GACGAACGCUGGCGGCGUGCCUAAUACAUGCAAGUUGAGCGCUGAAGGUUGGUACUUGUACCAACUGGAUGAGCAGCGAACGGGUGAGUAACGCGUGGGUAAUCUGCCUUUGAGCGGGGGACAACAUUUGGAAACGAAUGCUAAUACCGCAUAAAAACUUUAAACACAAGUUUUAAGUUUGAAAGAUGCAAUUGCAUCACUCAAAGAUGAUCCCGCGUUGUAUUAGCUAGUUGGUGAGGUAAAGGCUCACCAAGGCGAUGAUACAUAGCCGACCUGAGAGGGUGAUCGGCCACAUUGGGACUGAGACACGGCCCAAACUCCUACGGGAGGCAGCAGUAGGGAAUCUUCGGCAAUGGACGAAAGUCUGACCGAGCAACGCCGCGUGAGUGAAGAAGGUUUUCGGAUCGUAAAACUCUGUUGGUAGAGAAGAACGUUGGUGAGAGUGGAAAGCUCGUCAAGUGACGGUAACUACCCAGAAAGGGACGGCUAACUACGUG
rnacentral:rRNA from 1 species